rnacentral:rRNA from 1 species
GACGAACGCUGGCGGCGUGCUUAACACAUGCCAGUCGAACGGAAAGGCCCUGCUUUUGUGGGGUGCUCGAGUGGCGAACGGGUGAGUAACACGUGAGUAACCUGCCCUUGACUUUGGGAUAACUUCAGGAAACUGGGGCUAAUACCGGAUAGGAGCUCCUGCUGCAUGGUGGGGGUUGGAAAGUUUCGGCGGUUGGGGAUGGACUCGCGGCUUAUCAGCUUGUUGGUGGGGUAGUGGCUUACCAAGGCUUUGACGGGUAGCCGGCCUGAGAGGGUGACCGGCCACAGUGGGACUGAGAUACGGCCCAGACUCCUACGGGAGGCAGGAGUGGGGAAUAUUGCACAAUGGGCGGAAGCCUGAUGCAGCAACGCCGCGUGCGGGAUGACGGCCUUCGGGUUGUAAACCGCUUUCGCCUGUGACGAAGCGUGAGUGACGGUAAUGGGGAAAGAAGCACCGGCUAACUACGU